AUCAAAAGAUUUAAACUCAUGGCCUUUCAUACACUGUUCCCCAAUCAUGUAUUGUUUCUGUAUAUGUUGUGA